rnacentral:rRNA from 1 species
CCUACGGGAGGCAGCAGUGAGGAAUAUUGGUCAAUGGACGAGAGUCUGAACCAGCCAAGUCGCGUGAAGGAUGACUGCCCUAUGGUUUGUAAACUUCUUUUAUAUGGGAAUAAAAUGCUCCACGUGUGGGGUUUUGUAUGUACCAUAUGAAUAAGGAUCGGCUAACUCCGUGCCAGCAGCCGCGGUAAUACGGAGGAUCCGAGCGUUAUCCGGAUUUAUUGGGUUUAAAGGGAGCGUAGGUGGAUUGUUAAGUCAGUUGUGAAAGUUUGCGGCUCAACCGUAAAAUUGCAGUUGAAACUGGGGGUCGUGAGUACAGUAGAGGUGGGCGGAAUUCGUGGUGUAGCGGUGAAAUGCUUAGAUAUCACGAAGAACUCCGAUUGCGAAGGCAGUUCACUGGACUGCAACUGACACUGAGGCACGAAAGUGUGGGUAUCAAACAGGAUUAGAUACCCCUGUAGUC